AACGCUGUCCUUGUAGCAACAAAAAGCAACACAAAGCUGUGCAGCACCCAGAAAUCAUCAACAUGUAACGCUUGUUUCCACAGAUCAAUCCAGCUCCAUCCAGGCUGCAGGGAAUAUGGAGACUUCCCGACCUGACAGUCCAACAGAGAGGAAGAAAUCUGAUAACAAGGACUCAAAGAGUCGAGGAGCUGCUGCAGAAAAUAUGGAGACAUCACCAUCACAACCUGACUGUUCAAAAGAGACAUUUGUUAACAGGGAAGAAGAAGAAGAACAGUCUGCUGUCUCUCUACAGGCUGCAGAGUCAAACAGUGGGCAAAUUAAAAAAAGACUACAUUCAAGUAAUGACACUGAGCUCAGUUCUAACAACCAGUCAGACUCACACCAUCAGACGAAGAUCCAAAAAGAAAAGGCUGCAGAAAAUAUGGAGACAUCACCAUCACAACCUGACUGUUCAAAAGAGACAUUUGUUAACAGGGAGAAAGAAGAAGGACAGGCUGCAGACUCAGACAGUUUGAGCCAUCCACACUCUAAGAGACAAUUUCCAGUUGACACUGCUGCUGUGGCCAUGAUCCAACAAAAUGAAGUAAGAAAGAGCAUUUAACUUUAAAAGCACAUAAAGAUUUAAAAAAGGGUGAAAUGGAUUUGGAGCUCCUGCAUUAAUGUUCAUAACGCAUUUUCAUCUUCACUUAAACUGGCUUAAAAACAAACAACAC
rnacentral:lncRNA from 1 species